UUUCCAGGGUUCGGCAGCCUAGGCGGAGACCCCCCAAAAAAAGGCCGACCACCUCGGGAGUGAGGCGGGCCCUGAGCACGGCGCACGAGCUAGCGGGUCGCAGUGUUUCCCACAGACGAGGGCCGACAUCGAGCGUGCAGCCUGCCUCUUCGCGCUUUCCCCGCCCGCACGGAGCAGACGAGAUGGCCGCUCGGAGCUCCAUGGCCGCCACCGCGUCCACCCCCAUCUCACGUCUCGUCUCCUACCUCCUCCUCCUCCUUGUUUGGGCGCGGGGAGUGGAGGAUGGAGAGCUUUGGAAGGCUGGCGGGGCAUGGGGUGGACGCGGUCUGAGCACCGAGGCGGGCUCCUCGGGGGUGGGUGGCCGGACCGGAGUAAGGUUGCGGCCGCGUGCGGCGGAUCCGGCGCGAAUGCGCGAGCUCUGGCUCCGGCGACGACCGGCGGCAAAUGGACUGCCAGCUCUCCCCUCCAAGUUUCGCUGCCGGAUAUUCCCCUUCGCCGCCCCCUCCUACUCCUUUCUUAAGAUGUUGCUCAGCUCAACGGUGGUCGGGCUUGGGUCGCAGGCAGUGGUCGGACGGCGGCGAGCUGGAGCCCAAAUGGGUGGCCGCCACGGACGAAGGGGUCAUCGAGGGCUUGGAAGGCCGGAGCAGGUUUUUCGGCACAGAACAGUUGGUGGGCUGACCUAAGGCACCCGGAUAGAUUACUUCUAUGCAGGGAUUUUAAUUUUAUUUUACAAUUUUUUAUUUAUUCAUCGGCAAAAGGAUAGAAAAUUGUGAAAGUUCAUCAAAAUUUUGAUUAUUUUUCAUCAUUUACUUGUGAGUCUCACGUGGUAGUGAAAUAAAAUUCUAAAAUUAGAUAUCUCAUCCCCUACGAAAUUCCCAAAAAUUCAAUCCCUGCUUCUACGGGAGAAGCUUCGCUACUUUUACUCACUAUUUCUGAAUUUCACUUGGCUCAGUGCUCCAUCGAUUUCACUCCAUCUUCCAUUCUCGAUCUGGUUCUUGUUCUUGAGUUUGAGCACUUCUCCAAAGGGAGAAGAAACACAAGACCAGUUGACAAACAUGAAGCAAAUGCAGUGGGCGCUGCUGUCGUCGUUGAGCACCUUCCACGCCAGCGCCUUCUCGUACGACACCGGCCGGCCCAGGCUCGACACGCACAGC